CCCCCUUUCCCUGAUACACGUAUGUCCUGCGCAUGGAGCCACUCUAAGGCGCAGCGUGCCACAACUCGCAGCCCGGCCGGCCCGCUUGCACCUUACCAAGAUGAGCUGGAGCGCUUGCAUCUGGCGAUUGUGCAGCAAGUGCGCGGGCAAGGGGUGGAGGUAGCAGUGUUUGGUUUGCCUCAGUGGGCCUUGAACUUGGCAAUCUGUCGGAGUGUCAGCAUAGCUCAGUGAUAGAGCCCCACACGGUGACAUGUCACCUCAAGGGAGGUCGUGGGUUGGAAUCCCACUGCUGACGCCCUAGCUAGGCAAGGAACGUGGUAAGAUGUAGGAGGCAGUAGAUCAAGAGCCAGUUGACCCUAUUUACAUUCUUUGGAAGCACGUAAGUUAACAGUUUACCUUCCCUUGCCACAAAGCCCCUGGGUGGUGUGCGGAGAGGUGCGCUAGAUUGUGCUGUUUGGCUGGUAGCGACAACAUGUUGAGAUACGCAUGCCGUGAUAUUUUAGAUCUGGUGCACGCAGGCUGCCUAAACACUCCUGACGUUGGGACUUUGGGCAAGGAGAGGUGGCCACCCGGUUGGCUCACGAAGACCAAGUUAGGUGUGGACCUAGGCCGGUGUCAGGCCUAUUCAUGCGGACUACCCUCCCCUUAAAGGCGACGCAGCUCAUAUUGGCAGCAAGCUGGGGGCUGUGGCUGGCUCCCGUCCGCACGAGUGAUUGUGUGAGAGUGGAAAUUAGUUACGUAGGUAGGUGUCAGGCCUAUUCAUGCGGACUACCCUCCCCUUAAAGGCGACGCAGCUCAUAUUGGCAGCAAGCUGGGGGUUGUGGCUGGCUCCCGUCCGCACGAGUGAUUGUGUGAGAGUGGAAAUUAGUUACGUAGGUAGGUGUCAGGCCUAUUCAUGCGGACUACCCUCCCCUUAAAGGCGACCCAGCUCAUAUUGGCAGCAAGCUGGGGGUUGUGGCUGGCUCCCGUCCGCACGAGUGAUUGUGUGAGAAUGGAAAUUAGUUACGUAGGUAGGUGUCAGGCCUAUUCAUGCGGACUACCCUCCCCUUAAAGGCGACCCAGCUCAUAUUGGCAGCAAGCUGGGGGUUGUGGCUGGCUCCCGUCCGCACGAGUGAUUGUGUGAGAGUGGAAAUUAGUUACGUAGGUAGGUGUCAGGCCUAUUCAUGCGGACUACCCUCCCCUUAAAGGCGACGCAGCUCAUAUUGGCAGCAAGCUGGGGGUUGUGGCUGGCUCCCGUCCGCACGAGUGAUUGUGUGAGUGGAAGUAAUUAACACAACCGAAUUACCAUCAUGACUCCUUGUAAAGCCUCCGCGUACGCAGCCUCCAUUCAUGGCGGCGGCAUCCUUCCCUCCUCGCACAUCCCCCCUCGCUCAUGUCACCUUGCAUCCUUCACCCAAGCAACCUGAAGAGAAAGCAACGCUAAUGACUUUCCUCCAAAACGCUCCACACAACAACGUGGACAUGUAUGCAACGGUUGACUUUCUCCAGAUUUAUGGAGGGUUAGGCGGUAGUGCGUGGACCCGCUGCGGGGUAAUGAUGGCGUAACUCUACGGGCGGUUUGCGACAAUUCCGGCGGGCCACUGACCGACCCAUUGGCGCUAGAUCUUCCCCCCGGGUGGCCGCUCCGCCCAGCGGAGAAGCACAAUAACAACAGAAGAAGUAACAGUUGGGGCAGCAGUAACCUUAAGGAACAAGGAUAGGCAUAUGUGGGGGGGGGUUGUUACGUCAUGCCCAUCUGAUUUCGUAGUAUUGCGUUAUAUAAGUGUGUGUGUUAUACAUGGUUGGGUGUGUUUGACCCCAUACCUGUAAAACUACCCAUACGGACCGAAGCGUUAUGUACACGCCAAGUAGUCGAAGCCGGUUCAGCAGCAAGCUAGGAGUUGCUUGCCCUCAUGGCACGGUGCGUGCUUUGUCGACCAUUGUGGAUCUACCUGAAUGGCUUUAAAAUCAAACAGAUUGCCUGCCUGCGAGCAGGGAACCUUUUUUACGGUCGGUAACUGUGAAAGGCGGUGCACGACUGGUGUGCGUGCUUCUCAUAACGAAAUAGAAUAGAUCAGCCGAGAGAUUUCCCAGGUGCGGAUAUCGACCUGCUCCGUCAAGAAACGGUCGCUGUGGGGAAUUGGGCCGUGGGAUUGAGAUUUGAUGAAAAGGUUGAAGGUGCGUCCGCCUACUUGCGCUAUAAUAACCGUCGUGGGCCUGUUUAGGAGCGGUAGCAACCGCAACACCUAGGCGCCUCCGCUUGCCUCCGCCUGUGGGGCGACGGGGCGACCGUCUGCAAUACUAAUCCUUAAGAAAGUAGUACUGCUGUGUACCGCUGUGCCACAGUACCCGCUGCAAAACGAGCCGUUUGGAGCUGUCAGUUGCCCGCCCUCACAUAUCGCAUAUGUACCUCCGAAUCUGCAAACCCACGACCCUUGGAAACGUAACAGUCAGAAAACGUUAAUAUACUGCAAAACCAAACAGGAGACUUAGUUUCCUGCGGGAUUCAUGCAGACAAACCAACCAGUGGUGUUUUUGUAUUAGUAUUGUUGAUGUGUCCGCGCCAAGAUCCUCCCGACGCUAUCCGUGGGUCAUUUGCACAUAUUUGGAUUGACAUACCUAGGAUUGUUGAACAUCCUACAGCAGCACCAUCCACCAUUACCACACUGUACUGCGCCCUAUAAACCGCAAGUCCAAGGUGGUUGAAAAUAUGACUUCUACAUCCCACCUCAUCCUUCACGCAGGCGCCUACAGCAGCAGCAGCUGCGGCGGCUGCAGCUACGUACUCCGGGACUUCGGUAAAGCUUAGUCCCAGCACCAGCUAGCUAUCUACCAUCACCUUCACCUCCGGCAGCGCCUCCACUGACACACGCCUCUUAUCAUGCAUGGACAUCGCCGAACCUGACCGUCUUAGGUGGUGCUUACAGAACUGAUGAAUGGACAAAAAGCGCGGGGCAACGACUGUCGCACUGUGUGGCCGUGAAGCGCAUAUCCAUCGAUCCCACUUGCAGUGGCAGCAUGACUUUUGAAUACGUCGGUAUCUUUGUGUAGCAGCCUAGCCAUACGAGUUUUGCCUGUCGGGACCGUCAUUUUCCAACCAUCUAGCCAAAUCACUGGGGCCUUACCACCUGCCGCAUAGCCGUUACCGCGUUCUUCACCAAGACCUUAACUUCCCCUCAGAAACAGAGGCCACCUCAGCCUCCUUACUCCCCUGCAGGCAGGCCCUCCCGCUACAUACAACAUUAGCAGCAUGUAUGUAUUCACCUGGCCAACAGCAGCCACCGCCCCGCAGCCGCAACCCGCGAAACCCGACGUGCGCGGCCGCGGCGCCGCUCCAGCACGUGCUUUCCUUAGUGGGCUGGGCUCGCUUGUGGGGUGGCGCUACCGGCUUGCGGGGGCUGGGCUCCUAAGGUCGGCUACCGACAACACCGGCUAUCUAGAGCAUGGACGUGCGUUCGCAGGUCGUCCAUGCAUUGAGAUCGUCUGGAUAGUGCAUAUGAAUCAUAACGUCCAAUUAUACAAACAUGCGCAUGUAUAAGAGCAGCGUCCUGGCGAAUGUUUGCGGAAGACGCAGCUAAUAAGCCUGGCGGACGUCGUUUGCCGUGCCGCUAGUUUGUCCGUGGCGUCGAUCUGUGAAAAGAUUAUUACAUUAAUAUUGCGAAGACUGUUGGGAGUACACGUCUAAUGGCGGGUUUGUUUUCAUUUGUCCUCUGCAGCAGGGUGUGCCCUUGUCCCUCUUUGUCUGGCCUGUUGUUUUAUGCCCAGGCAGGCAGUGGUUUGCUACACGUUGCUACACGAUCACUAACAUAUAAUAGAAUACGUAAGUCUAAUUCAUUUUUUUCCAGGAAGAAAGCUCAUCCGGGGCAGAUCCUUGCACAGUAGCUGUGCUUCAAUCGCGUCGAAGAGCCCUUACCCUGCCCAGGAAAACUUGAAGAGUUAUCAUUUACGUGCUUCAUAUCAAACCAUGUUGAAUCUAUUAGCUACAUGAGCAUAAGCUCUCUCACACAAAUUGACGUAGGUACAUAUGGAUGACAGUCUUGGACUAGAACGCAGAUCUGUUGUACUGAGCCAUCGACCUAAGCGUUUUGCCCUGAUACAAACACGAUAUAAUCAGUGCGGGUACAUUUCUGAGCAACAAGGUGACAAUGACGGAUGCCAAGUUGCGGUCCAAAUGCUGCGAUGCACCGAUGCAGCCUAAUGUACAUGGAAAAGGUAUGUUACGUUAUUCUAUAUCUGAUUUUAAAGAUGCUGCUUGUGAUACAGGAGUUCCACCAUGCCGUCGGAGCUGGGCGCUGCUGGACUCUGACGAGAAAGCUUUAUCACUUUUCCGACCGCCGGCUUUCAAAUUAUCAGUGUCAGGACGUUUCGAGUGAGCUUCGGGUUCAGGUGAGGUGCGGGAAUGUGCGCCUUCCUAAGUGGCUAUGUCCAUGCGUGGAAAGAUUAAACACGGACCCGACCUCACGCACCAUCUGGAGGCCAAUGACGAUUGUCAUUAGAUUUUUAUGUAUCUUUAGAAGUUACUGUUUUGUUGAUAACCUUGAUACAUUUAUCUUCUGCCGCGCGGCGAGAUAGACAUGCAUCGGCGAACCGCUUGGCGAACUUGCACCUGUCACCAAGACACUAAGGCGUGCCGAGCGCUAAUGUAACAUCUCAUUGCUGUGAUGCCUAAUUAUUGGACUAAUUGCCUCCCUGUGCAUGACUUGGAAGUCCAUGUCGGUAAGGAGAUCCACCUUUCCUGGCACAGCGAUUGCGGUCGGCUCGCAUUGCUCGCAGACCUCACAAGUGUAUUUUUAAUUAUACUUCUACCGUUCACGAUAAUGCGGCCAGUUAGCAUUGCUUUCGCUUCCAGCGUGCACAUCACUGCAUGACCCUCACUCAAAUGCUCCGGCCUCCCCCUUUCCCUGAUACACGUAUGUCCUGCGCAUGGAGCCACUCUGAGGCGAAGCGUGCCACAACUGGCAACCCGGCCGGCCCGCUCACACCUUACCAAGAUGAGCUGGAGCGCUUGCAUCCGGCGAUUGUGCAGCAAGUGCGCGGGCAAGGGGUGGAGGUAGUAGUGGUUGGUACGUCUCAGUGGGCCUUGAACUUGGCAAUCUGUCGGAGUGUCAGCAUAGCUCAGUGAUAGAGCCCCACACGGUGACAUGUCACCUCAAGGGAGGUCGUGGGUUGGAAUCCCACUGCUGACGCCCUAGCUAGGCAAGGAACGUGGUAAGAUGUAGGAGCCAGUAGAUCAAGAGCCAGUUGACCCUAUUUACAUUCUUUGGAAGCACGUAAGUUAACAGUUUACCUUCCCUUGCCACAAAGCCCCUGGGUGGUGUGCGGAGAGGUGCGCUAGAUUGUGCUGUUUGGCUGGUAGCGACAACAUGUUGAGAUACGCAUGCCGUGAUAUUUUGGAUCUGAUGCGCGCAGGCUGCCUAAACACUCCUCUGAUGUUGGGACUUUGGGCAACCGGCCGGGCAUGAAGACCUUUGCAUGGUGUGAAUGUUGGUAGAUGUCCGUCCCUAUCCAUGCGGACUAACUGCACCCACCCUGGAGGCGAAGCAGCUCAUAUUGGCAGCACGCUUGGGGUUGUGGCAGGCUCUUGUUCGCAGGAGUGAUUGUGUGAGAGUGGAAGUGCUGAACGUAGGUAGGUGUUGGGCCUAUUCAUGUGGACUACUGCCGCCCCGGCUGUUGCACUGCUGGUGAUGGCAGCAGGCUUUGGGGUGUGGCUGGCCACGUCUGCACGAGUGAUGGCGUGUGUGGAUGACUUCCAAGCUUAUCCAUAAUUAAACAUGCCCGAGUCAGCUGAUGAUGCACGCCCAACCAAGGUGCCCUGCAUCUCCCUCGGGAUUCGCGGCUUCUUUAUGGCAUCUGGUAAGCUCCUAUCAUGCAAGUAGUAUAGUAGUGGCGCUAUGAAAGUACCCGGGGAACUGAUGCGGAGUUUACACCUGUGCAGAGAAAUCCCCAGUCGCUUCUACUCCUGCCGCUAACGGCAAAGCUGCUGAACAUCUUUCAGUGAACAUUGACUGUAAGUUUCGAAAAGGUCGCUGCAAACUUCAAAUGUUUUGUUGACCGACAGUCUUGCCGUCGUUUUACUAUGAGAGUAGCCAGAAAACUAACCAGCAAUCGUUGUUAUAGCCAAGGUGGGCGACUGUGUUCUGCCUGAUGAGAGUGGUGAUGAGGGCAGUGUGGACAGCGAAAUCGCUGAGGCCUACUACCCUUCUGAUAACGAGGAGGUCGAGAGUGUUGCAGGUGAUGAGGAGACGGACGAUAUGACGAUGAUGAUGAUGUGGCUGGUGUGGUGGAGGCGAUUGCUGCAGAGGUGGAUGAGGAGCGGCGCCUCCUUGGCUUUGGGUAAAAUCCUUGCUGAAA
rnacentral:lncRNA from 1 species